rnacentral:lncRNA from 1 species
AAAUACCGAGUGUCGGGAAGUUAGAUCCUUUCACCAAUCAAAAGUCCUAUCCACAUUGACAAUUACCAAAAAAAUCCAAAGCCCACUUGCUGGCAUCCCACACAAAAACAAAUACAACCAACACUAGUUUCCAGAAGAUACAUUGCCUUUGAAAGGGGGGCCAAUCCCAAACAAACCAAUCAUUCUUCGCAUUCAAACAUGCAUCACAUGCAUCACCUCGUACAUAAUGCAUACAUGACAUUUAUGCAUAUAG